UACGUAGGGACCGAGCGUUGUCCGGAAUCAUUGGGCGUAAAGAGCGUGUAGGCGGCUUGCUAAGUCUUGCGUGAAAUCUCGGGGCUCAACCCCCGAGCGGUCGUGGGAAACUGGCAGGCUAGAGUGCGGGAGAGGAGAAUGGAAUUCCUGGUGUAGCGGUGAAAUGCGCAGAUAUCAGGAGGAACACCAAUGGCGAAGGCAGCUCGCUGGGACGUGACUGACGCUGAGACGCGAAAGCGUGGGGAGCAAACAGG
rnacentral:rRNA from 1 species